UCCAGCUGAUCUGUGGUUUAGGUAGUUUCAUGUUGUUGGGAUUGCUAAUUUCUUAACGCGGCAACAAGAAACUGCCUUAAUUACGUCAGUUCGU
rnacentral:pre_miRNA from 1 species